rnacentral:pre_miRNA from 14 species
UUCCCAAGCACUCAGGCCAAACCAAUAAGAAGUACUGAAAGACCCCUGGAGCGGGGAGACCCUCACUCAAGUCUCGGGAUGAUGCGACCCCCCAAGAACUCAUGUGAGACC